GAUGAACGCUAGCGGCAGGCUUAAUACAUGCAAGUCGAGGGGCAGCAUGAUUGUAGCAAUACAAUUGAUGGCGACCGGCAAACGGGUGCGGAACACGUACACAACCUUCCAAUAAGUGGGGAAUAGCCCAGAGAAAUUUGGAUUAAUACCCCGUAACAUAACGAUGUGGCAUCACAUUGUUAUUAUAGAUUUUUCGCUUAUUGAUGGGUGUGCGGCUGAUUAGAUAGUUGGCGGGGUAACGGCCCACCAAGUCUACGAUCAGUAGCUGAUGUGAGAGCAUGAUCAGCCACACGGGCACUGAGACACGGGCCCGACUCCUACGGGAGGCAGCAGUAAGGAAUAUUGGACAAUGGACGCAAGUCUGAUCCAGCCAUGCCGCGUGAAGGAUUAAGGUCCUCUGGAUUGUAAACUUCUUUUAUAAGGGACAAAAAAAGGCUUUUCUAAGUCGUCUGACGGUACCUUAUGAAUAAGCACCGGCUAACUCCGUGCCAGCAGCCGCAGUAACAC
rnacentral:rRNA from 1 species